UACGUAGGGUGCAAGCGUUUGUCCGGAAUUAUUGGGCGUAAAGAGCUCGUAGGCGGUUCGUCGCGUCGGCUGUGAAAUCCCGCGGCUCAACCGCGGGUCUGCAGUCGAUACGGGCAGGCUAGAGUUCGGUAGGGGAGACUGGAAUUCCUGGUGUAGCGGUGAAAUGCGCAGAUAUCAGGAGGAACACCGAUGGCGAAGGCAGGUCUCUGGGCCGAUACUGACGCUGAGGAGCGAAAGCGUGGGGAGCGAACAGG
rnacentral:rRNA from 1 species